CAGUCAUUAUACUUUCAGGGAUCAUUUCUAUGGUGGUCAUCUGGAGAAGCCAGUUCAUACAUGCUCAGUCUCGUCAGCCACGAUGAGGAAGUGGA